UAUCUGCUAAUAUCAAUAGUUUCUCUGUUUCAGAUGACUUAAAUCAUCGUAGGUCCUCAAGAAGUAGCCUUUUGACAAUGGAAAUGAAACUAUUCCAAAGCAGGGUGUGGAUAACUAACAUGGUUUAGAGCAAUUAUUUGUAGAGCUUGGAGCCUGAAAGUUCAAACAACAUGUAACGGAUAAACUCAAUGAUAAACUGACACCUAAUGUGAAAGAAGCCCAAUGUUGGGAGUGUUUGUGGAAGAGCUAAGCACCUCAGCAAAUAGACUUCAGGCAUUAGUGAGGCCUCCAAGGACAUGGGAGUAUAUGGCUCGCAGUCACUGGUGCAAAAGUGACCCUGAGAGAUGCUGCCUGAAAUGGCGUGAGGAAGGGUAUAAAGGAAGGAGACUGGCAUUUAACAGGGAAUAACUACUGCUGUCAAGACCUCUUCCAAAUGCAGCGGACUUCA
rnacentral:lncRNA from 1 species